ACUCAGAGCUUCACCACGCCUGCAGAGAAGAUAAUGUGUGUUUUGGGGGGGGUGUGUGGGGACUAAGUAAAUCUGUAUCAGCCUCCACAGUUGCUGGACUCCUGUCUCCGCUGUAGCUCUGCUGGGAGUCAAACUCAAUUAUAUACAACCUUCUUAACUGAUUCCACCACUGAGAGGCCCAAAUGUGAGCUUUUAACAUCACACCCUCAUCGACAGCCCAGGACCUGGAAUCUGAGUAAUGUGUUCAUGUUGUAGCUACAGUCUAUGUCCCGUUAUGACGAUUACAAAGAAACCUCAAAAUCCAAAUAUAACACUGUUCAGUAUUCAGUGUCACUCAUUACCUUUAUUACGGCUUCCGUUCAUUUCAGGAGACUUGAUGGAAGAUUUCUACAGGGAGAUUCACUCGAAAGAGGCCCAGAAUACUCUGCAAUAACCCUCGCUAAGACGAGGCAAUCUGAAUGACACAAUGUGCAAUGUGCUCCUCGGUAUAUGCAGUUUCACACAAACUGAGAUGCUCCUGUGUCAGCGUGAUAAGAAAACGGAGAGCACUUCCAGCACUGCAUGUAAUGCAAUCAAUCACACAUAUGUCAAGGUAUGUAGUAUAUUUUUUUGGUUCAGAUUACUUCAUCAUAAUUGGAGUUAGACCAGAAUAUUCAGGGCCUCUUUCGAGUGAAUCUCCCUGUAGUUCUAUGAGGUUUUACACUUCUGUGUCUGGAUCUUACAUCUUAUAGUCCUGUUCUGUGUGCUUGUCCGUUGCACCCUUUUGCAGGUGGGCUUUUAUUGCUCCUAGAUGUUACUGCUUUACAAUAACACUGACAUUUGACCAGGGCAGCUCUAGCAGGGCAGGAAUUUGACAAACUGACUUUUCAAACAUCCUGAGACAGAACCGUGUUGAGUCACUGAGCUCUUCAGUAUGACUCAGUCUACUGCCAGUGUCUGUCUAUGAAGGUUGCUUGAUUUCAUGCAUAUGAGUAUCUACACGUUUGGAGAUGAGUAAUGAGUAUUAAUGAGUUAUUGCAUAAUGAAUAAACUGCAUCACAGGGUUUCAGUAACUAUCUGAUGUUCAGUGCAUUGAGCUUAUCAGAU
ensembl:lncRNA